GGAGCGCUUCUUAGACAGGAUGCAAAAGAGACAGAAAGCGUGCAGAGUCCUGCAACAGGAGUUAGCUUUGAUUUGGCCUGGAUCAACACCCGCCGAGGCUAAUUGAUCCCUGGUAACCAUGGCAACAUAUUCCUGCAGUAUAUGGACCCGAGGCAGGACUCGGAUGCGUCUGUGACCCAAAGGGCGGGAGUCACAUGGUGCCUGUGACCAACAGGAGGCGUGAGUCCAGAGACGAGGACCGGAACCGUCCAUCGCUGCUGAGUAGAACUCCUAACUCCAACCCAACAACCUGUAGAGCACCCAGAACUACAUGUUUACGGCUGAGACGGCUGCAUUUCACCGCGGCAGCUAAAAUUGCAGCGGUUGACUAAAUAUGGAUGUGCAGCUGCAACAUUAAAGAGGGAGACAUAAUUGAAGAACAUAACUACAGGACAUCCCAGAAUAAGGGUGACAGCAAAUGUGCUUUUCAUCGAUGACUGUGGUCCACGGAGCAGACUCACCCCCCUACUGGUUAAUGGACUCCACACAAAAGGCGCUGAGCUGAAAAUUCCAACGGAAUGUAAACACACCGUGAGUCAGUGCUUUACAGGUGGAACUGCACAGACAGGAAGAAAGGUAAAAGAAAACAUCCCAAAAUAAGGUGGGCAUGUAUGACAUUUAAACGGCCAGUUGAAUGAUGACGAUGUGUUCGAGGGGCCUUUCACACCUGACAUCAACGGUGGUCAUUAUUUUUAUCAGAUCUACACAUGAGGGUUGAGUGAAAGUGCUGCUCAAGAGGCAACGGCUCCGGAUCGGAGCCGUUCUGAUUGUGUUGGUGCCGAGUUGAUGAGGCUGAUGGGUAAUAACUGGCUGGAACGCUCCCAAUCAGUGCAGACAGCAAUCAGGUUAUGGCUCCUUGCAUCAGCCCAGACAAGCUAAUACCAGCGUAUGGGAGAUGUUAGAUCAGCUUCAAUCAGUGACGGCAUCGACCUGGAGGCCUGGAUCAGCCUGAAUGAACCCCGGACCCGACGCUGUAACAAUGCAGGAAGCUCAGCUAUAUGUUACACUACAACAGAGAGCGGGUGCUUGUAGCAGGAAACAGGUUAGCACGUUUUAAUGGUGCAGCUCAAAGUGAUGCAUGUACAGAACAGGAGCCCCCCUGCUGUGAGCGGCACAUGCUGCUGCCAGGAGCCUCCUGUGUGAGCGUUCAAUAAAUUAAUAAACAUCAACUGACAAGUGCAAUGCAGGCACCCGAGGGCACGAUGAUGUUUGCAAACAAGCCCCCCCCAAACACACACACACACACACACACACACACACACACACACACACACACACACACACACACACACACACACACACACACACACACACACACACUCACUCCCCGAGGAGCGGCGAUUGUUUAAUGAUUCAAUUAGCUGUGCAGCGUGCUGAGAGCUAGAGGCAAGAUGGAGAGAUAAUUGAUAAACAUGUUUAAUCCUGAGAGAGGGGAGGGGUGGAAAGAUCAAACCCACAGAUACACACAGAGCACACGUACAGACACAUACUGCACAUUCAAACAACACAACACACCAGAGACAUGUGUCACUGCACGGUAAGUGAGCGGCACAAACCAAAUGCCCACAGGCGUUUUUUACGGGAGUGAACGUAAACAAAUUCACAUGUUGAAGCAAAUGUAACCGCGAUGACCAGAGACGUGGUGAGAUCCCAGCGUGAUCCCAGCGUGAUCCCAGCGUGUCUCAGUCACAUAAAAGCACAUUUAUGGCGUAAUAGUGUCAUCAACCUCACCUUCCAUCCAUACAUUUAGCUGCGCUCAGGUCUGCUCAUAUGCUGUAGUAUUUGCUGAGGCCUAUUUGUUUGCUAGUUUCUGUCGUGUCUCCGUUUAAACAGCUGCUGCGUCUGUGUGUUUGCGUUGGUCUGUGUUUGUGUGCAGCUGAACGUGUGGAAUAAACAGGACACGUCAGCGGAGUCUUUGUGUCCAGGAGAAAUGUUGACUUCACCUUUCUGGUCGGUCUCUGGAUGAGGGCUCCUGGUUGGAGCUCAUCAGCUGAAAGAUUUCUGUGAUAAAAAAACACGAUUAUUAUAAUUAUAUAAUAUAACAUUAUAACAACAGCUCAACAUAAUUAAGUCAUGAGUUUAUUCUAUUCAUGCCGUACCAGGAGGUGACUUUCCCAAAGAA